rnacentral:lncRNA from 1 species
CAAACUUGCUUGUUCACGAGAAUCACGUGGGGAGCGUGUUAAAAUUACAGAUUCCUUGGCUCCACCCGCAGGCCUACUGAAUCAGAAUCUCGAAGGGAGGUACUCCGGAACCUGUAUCUCUAACUAGGGCCCCAGAGGCUGCUUAUGAUCACCAGGUCCUGCGCUUCCCGAAAAGGAUGAAGCUCCAGCUGCAGUUCUGGGGAGGCCUGGACCCCAGCUCCGGGGGGGCCGGGCUACCAAGGCCGCUGGGCCUGGAGAGGCGCGUCCCUGGCCCAUCUUAUCAGCGCUCUGCAGGGUCUGGGCCUGCUGCUCGCGUCCUCCUGGGCUCCCAAGGCCACGGGUGGGUUAAUGGCUUGACAGCCGGCCUCCUGGCCCAGCAGACGCUGAGCAGCCCGAUGGCACAAUCCACCUCUUCUCUCCAAGGCCAGCUGGAGGGACGAGGCACGACAAGGCCAUCCCUACAGCUGGCACUUCCCCUACAGCUGAGAGGGGGCCUAAACUACAGGACACACUCCCAAGACCCUUAAGCCCUGGCAGCAUCCCGGGGGAGGGGGGCAGCAGGUGGAAGUGGAAAGAAGCCUGUGGAGCUGCCAGCAGGGAGAGGGAGUCGGACAUGAGGCUGAGAGGCCUCUGGGAACCCCUGUGCCAAGGGGCUGCUGGCACUGGGCAGCAGCACCCCAGAGCCCACGAGGAGUGUGCCCAGAGCAAGUGGCUCAGACCUGGGUCAUGGCUCGAGGGUGUCGGGCUGUAGCUGCUGGUCCCAGAGAGUGCAGCCCAGGGCAGGCAUCAGGACAGGAGUAGGAGGAGAAAGAGUGUUCUAGGAAGAGUCUAGUCCCCUAAUCCUGGUGGUGGCUGGCUGUAGCCUAGUGCACGCUGUCUGGCUUGUGUGGCUGUGCUGCCUGAGUAUACAUACCCUAGCAACAUUCUCCUUGCUCAGCACUGGACAUCAGCUCUCCACCUGGCCCCUUCCUCUAGGGAGGGGAUGGGGAGGCCUCCUAGGGUUAGCAGCAGGAGUUGGGCCUCAGGAAUCAGGAGCCCUUGAAAGGAGGAUGCGUGGUUCCCAUAAAACUGAGGGUUGCCCUGGGCCCUACCCUUCCUGAGUCAGCUCUUGCUUCAAUUCCUUGAAGCACCCCAGCAUCCUUUCAAUAAAUGCCUGCCCUUUGUGGCCUGCAACCAGAGGAACUGCAACUAGCACACUCACUGAAGGAAUCCUGCUGCUGCUGCUGCUGCUAAAAACAACCGAGGUCAUGGAUGAGGGGGUGGAGGAUACUCUCAUCCCACCUCCAGACUGACAACAAAAAGACCUAAAGAUCUCUGUGUACCUGGGACUGUCUACCAUUGAAGAUUAGCCAUGGUAACUUGUUGACUUAGUGAUCAACUUCCUGCAGAAGCCCAUAGGUCCACCUGGACUCUGCCCAGGCCAGCGUGUUCUGAAAAUGGAGGGCUCUGUCACCAUUCACUCAACAAAUGUUUAUUCUGCACUGACCGAGGGCCAGAUGUACCAAGAGCUGUGGACACAGCACUCCAACUUACUCCAGGGCUACUGAAAUCAGGGAUGGCUUCCCCAAAAGGCACACUAAGGAAAGUCUAUGUCACUAGCAGAGAAGAGGCAC